ACGCUCGACACCUACGGGAGGCAGCAGUGGGGAAUAUUGCACAAUGGGGGAAACCCUGAUGCAGCGACGCCGCGUGAAGGAAGAAGUAUCUCGGUAUGUAAACUUCUAUCAGCAGGGAAGAAAUGACGGUACCUGACUAAGAAGCCCCGGCUAACUACGUGCCAGUAGCCGCGGUAAUCUGAGGCGGGCUGCAAGGC
rnacentral:rRNA from 1 species